CCAGAUGGGAGAGACAUCUUUGAGAAGGUGAACAAGGCUUACGAGUUCCUGUGCUCCAAAGAUUCGAGAAAAGUCCAAGGUCCAGACCCACACAACAUUGUGCUCAUCCUUAAAGCACAGUCUAUCCUCUUCAAACGAUACAAGGAAGAGCUGCAGCCAUAUAAGUAUGCAGGUUACCCCAUGCUGAUAAAGACCAUCAGGAUGGAGACAGAAGAUGGUACUGCGUUCUCCAAAGACGCUCCUCUGCUGGCGGCUGCGAGUGAGCUUGCUUUUCACACCAUCAACUGCUCUGCGCUAAAUGCAGAGGAACUACGCAGAGAAGACGGAAUUGAGGUGCUGCAGGAGGCCUACAGUCGCUGCUUAUCAGAAAUCAGUCGAUACACGGAGCCG